UACGGGGGGGAGCAAGCGUUGUUCGGAUUUACUGGGCGUAAAGGGCGCGUAGGCGGCGUGACAAGUCACUUGUGAAAUCUCCGGGCUUAACUCGGAACGGUCAAGUGAUACUGUCGUGCUAGAGUACAGAAGGGGCAACUGGAAUUCUCGGUGUAGCGGUGAAAUGCGUAGAGAUCAGGAAGAACAUCGGUGGCGAAGGCGGGUCUCUGGACAGUUCCUGACACUGAGGCACGAAGGCCAGGGGAGCAAACGGG
rnacentral:rRNA from 1 species